rnacentral:misc_RNA from 1 species
GUGAGUAGUAAAUGCUAGUUACCCAAAGAAACAAAAGGCCUCAUAAACCACGUAAUGUAACUCAGCUCAUAUUUGGUUUAUUUUGUGAAGUAAGAGGAAAGAAAAGGAGAUCAGAUUUUCCUUCUAAGACAUGUUUCAAUGGUAUCCAACAAGAAGAAUAUUUAUGUUGAGAGUUAUUAAACUGAACAACAUUCUAGCAUCUGCUCAAAAUAAGUUAAAUAUCCUUAACCUUAAGUUCGUUAUGCACAUGGCUUUGUGUUCAAGAACCAUCACAUUCUUGGAAAGCCUGUCAACACACGCCUCCGUAUUAUGUUUUCCUCACUAAGUGAAGCUAGAAAGAAGUGAUACUUACUAUCUUCAGCCCAAUUAAUCACAGAAAAAUCAGAAGUUAGAUCUGAUACAUUGUCAUUUUUGAACUUUUUUAUCUUUCAAAAUGUUGGAACAGCUAAAAAGAUUCAUA